GAUAAAUUUGAAAAUUGUUUUUUUAUAUCUUUGAAGAAUUGUGUUGGGAUUUGAUGGGGAUUGUAUGGAACAAGAGAAGGCCUUUCAACAGUUCCAGGCUGCUGUGCAGGCUGCUCUACCACUUGGACCAUAUGACCCAGAAGACCCGAUAGUACUUGAGCUGUCUGUGGCUGAUAGAGAUGCUGUUUGGAAACUCUGGUAAGCCCCUGUAGGUGAAUCACAGAAAAGACCUUUGGGAUUUUGGAGCAAAGCUCUACCAUCAUCUGCAGAAAACUAUUCUGCCUUUGAAAAGCAGUUCUUGGCCUGCUAUUGGGCCUUAGUGGAAACUGAACGUUUGACAAUAGGACACCAAGUUACUAUGCAACCCAUCAUGAGCUGAGUACUAUCAGAUCCUGCAAGUCAUAAAGUGGGACACGCACAGCAGCAGUCUAUUAUCAAAUGGAAGUGAUAUAUACGUGAUCAGGCCAGAGCAGGUCCUGAAGACACAGGCAAGUUACAUGAAGAAGUUGCUCAAAUGCCUAUGGUUUCUAUUCCUGUUAUAAUGCCAUCUUCUGCCAAGCAUGUGCCUAUAGCCUCAUGGGGUGUUCCCUAU
rnacentral:lncRNA from 1 species